AGUUCACUGUUCAAAACUGUGUGUGAUGGAGCGCGCGUUGCAUUGUGGUUGAUAACGAUUCUUUAAGCUGGUACUUGAAUCUUCGCGAAAGCGGGAGUAUUCAUAUAUUCAGCUCUGUCCGACUGACUUUUAAAUCACAAUCGCAUUCAUAACAACUCAGUUAUGCGGAGCUAAAAAUUCAGCCGUCCCAUGAAGAAGUGAGGGAACAUGAAUUUUACGAAGAAAUAGGAAUGCCAGUGCCAAAGAAAGAUAUCGAGUCGGAAGGUUGGCCUGACAGUCAGCUCACGCAGUUCAAACUCUUAUUGUUCACAGUUCUGUCAAAAUACGGUGAUGUAAAUUUCUUUGAAGUUGAACACGAAUCGUUUUAUUUCUUUAAGAUCUUUGGAAAAUCUCUAUAAACACGUACGUAGUAAGAUGUUCGCUUUAAUGGCUAAUUUAUAAAAAUGCAUAGGAUCAUUUUGUCUUCAAAUCAUAGGUAAUUAUGCAGAAAUCAGCAUGUUGUGCGAUUACAUAAUCUUAUUUGGACGACUUUUUGCGAAGUAAACCAAACCACUUCGUUGAUAGUAACUUAACUAAGAUUCACUUAUAUUGAUUAUGGCCAGUGCUGUACUCACACUCACUGAGUGCAACAUAAAAAUCUCACUUUAUGUAAUCAUUGGCAAAGUUAUUUCUCCAUCUAUGGCAAAAUUUUCUCCUUGAUAUUUCAAAUCAAACAAUCAGUUGAUUGAAAUUAUGGUCUUUGAGUAAUUAUGAAGUGAUUUUGAAGACCCACUCAUUGAAUGUGGGUGUGAGUGAGCUUUUAGAAUACGUGCGUAACCGGUAACUCGGCUUACUGUGAGCAAAGCUAACUAGAUAAUUUCAGGGUUGAUAAUGAUCUGACUUUGCAGUUUGCCCUUUUUAAGAUGUCAGUCUCAUUCUCGUAACGAUUUUGUUUCAUUUCCCUAAAUUCUUAAGAAAAGGUGGUGUGCAACCAAUCUCCUGGGAGUGAGAGAACAGUGAAAUGUUCGCCAUAUGUUGGAUGACAUUUGCAUUGUAAAUAAUGAAAAUUAUUUGUUAAGAUCGUCCAACAUGGUGGCCAUGACGUAGCUUGGAAACCAAGAAUAGCGAAGAUUUAACGUGUUAGAAACUUAUAGCGCGUUCAGACUGAUUGCCGGAGUACGAUACCCUGGUUCGGGUACAAAUCUGCACGCCGUUCACACUACGUAGUACCCACUAGCUUCGUCUAUUUAUAAUUUCAUAUUUUUCAUUGUAAACAAGUUUUAAAACCAUGUGCUGAGUACGUGCCUUGCUGUACACGUAACUUGUGUGUCAUUCUUCACAUUGGUGCACUUGCCCGAGCACCGUACUCGGGUACACCCCUCUUCGUGUUUGUAGUACCCAGACCCGAGCACUUAGACUUGAGGACCAUCAAAAUGUUGUGUUCACAUUGGUGCCCGUGCCUGAGCACCAUGCCAAGGCACUUAGUAGGAACGCACUGUUAGAACCAUAUAUCACUGGUGUGACAUACCAAAAUAUGAUAAAUUGACCCAUGCUGUAUAAUAUACUUUCUAUCAAUUUGUCAAAUUUGGAGAAGGAAAUACAAUUAAAUAUUUUGCGAUCA